AUUGAACGCUGGCGGCAGGCCUAACACAUGCAAGUCGAGCGGAUGAAGGGAGCUUGCUCCUGGAUUCAGCGGCGGACGGGUGAGUAAUGCCUAGGAAUCUGCCUGGUCGUGGGGGCUAACGUCCGGAAACGGGCGCUAAUACCGCAUACGUCCUGAGGGAGAAAGUGGGGGAUCUUCGGACCUCACGCUAUCAGAUGAGCCUAGGUCGGAUUAGCUAGUUGGUGGGGUAAAGGCCUACCAAGGCGACGAUCCGUAACUGGUCUGAGUGGAUGAUCAGUCACACUGGAACUGAGACACGGUCGACUCCUACGGGAGGCAGCAGUGGGGAAUAUUGGACAAUGGGCGAAAGCCUGAUCCAGCCAUGCCGCGUGUGUGAAGAAGGUCUUCGGAUUGUAAAGCACUUUAAGUUGGGAGGAAGGGCAGUAAGUUAAUACCUUGCUGUUUUGACGUUACCAACAGAAUAAGCACCGGCUAACUUCGUG
rnacentral:rRNA from 1 species